rnacentral:rRNA from 1 species
GUUUCAGCCGCCGCGGUAAUACGGAGGGUGCAAGCGUUGUUCGGAAUUACUGGGCGUAAAGCGCGUGCAGGCGGCCGAUUAAGUCCGGUGUGAAAGCCCGGGGCUCACCCCCGGAAGUGCGCUGGAAACUGAUCGGCUAGAGUGCGGGAGAGGGAAGCGGAAUUCCUGGUGUAGCGGUGAAAUGCGUAGAUAUCAGGAGGAACACCGGCGGCGAAGGCGGCUUCCUGGACCGACACUGACGCUGAGACGCGAAAGCGUGGGGAGCAAACAGGAUUAGAAACCCGCGUAGUCC